rnacentral:rRNA from 1 species
AGAGUUUGAUCAUGGCUCAGGAUGAACGCUAGCUACAGGCUUAACACAUGCAAGUCGGAAGGGGAAACGAUAUUGGAAGCUUGCCUUCCGAUAGGCGUCGACUGGCGCACGGGUGAGUAACGCGUAUCCAACCUGCCCACCACGUUGGGGAUAACCUUGCGAAAGUAAGACUAAUACCCAAUGAUAUCUCUAGAAGACAUCUGAAAGAGAUUAAAGAUUUAUCGGUGAUGGAUGGGGAUGCGUCUGAUUAGCUUGUUGGCGGGGUAACGGCCCACCAAGGCGACGAUCAGUAGGGGUUCUGAGAGGAAGGUCCCCCACAUUGGAACUGAGACACGGUCCAAACUCCUACGGGAGGCAGCA